rnacentral:ncRNA from 1 species
UAAAGUUUUAUUCUUGCUUUAUAUUAAAUAUUUUUAUUUUUUAAAUACAUAUUAUUAUAGAUUUUUUUUUGUAUUAUGAAAAUUUAUUUAAGUUAAUUUGUUGUAAUAGAAAUAAAAUUAAUGAAUAGUAAAAAUUGUGCCAGCAACUGCGGUUAAACAAUUGUUUAAAUUUAAUAUAAAUAUAAAUUUUAAUUUUUUUAUUUUAAUAAUUUUUUAGUAUAUUUUAAGUGAAAUUUAAUAUAAUAAUUAAUUUAGUAAGGUAUAAAUUUAAGUAAAUUAAUUAAAUAAACUAGGAUUAGAUACCCUAUUAUAGUUAAUGUAAUUUUAAUUUAGAGUAGUAUAUGAUAUGAUCAGGAAACUUAAAGAAUUUGGCGGUAAUUAUUCUAAAUAGAGGAACAUGUUUUUAAUCGAUAAUCCACGAGUAUCUUUCUUAUUUUAAAUAAUUUUGUGUAUUUCCGUCUUAAAAAAAUAUUUAAAAGUAUAUUUUUUAUUUCUUUAUUGAAAAAAGUCAGGUCACAAUGCAGAUUAUAAUUAAGAAAAAAUGUGUUACAAUAAAUUUAUUUACGAAAAAGAAAUGAAAAAUUAUUAGAAGAUGGAUUUAUAAGUAAAUUGUUUUAUAUAAAAAAUAUUUGAAUUUAGUAAAUAAUUAUGUACAUAUUGCCCGUCAUUCUCUUUGAAAAAGAGACAAGUCGUAACAAAGUAGAUUUACUGGAAAGUGAAUCUGGAUUCAA